GCCUGGCCCUAAAUCUUGAUACUUACCAUACAGAAGUAUCCGCCAGAGAACUACGAGCACAAACGCUUAAAACUCUAAGGACUUGGCGGUGCCCUAAACCCACCUAGAGGAGCCUGUUCUGUAAUCGAUAAUCCACGAUAAACCCAACCGUCCCUUGCAAACCCAGCCUACAUACCGCCGUCGCCAGCCCACCUCGAAUGAGAGCGCAACAGUGGGCAUAACAGCUAUCUCGCUAAUAAGACAGGUCAAGGUAUAGCCUAUGGGGCGGAAGAAAUGGGCUACAUUCCCUAUGCAUAGGGCAACACGGAAAGAAGCAUGAAAUUGCUCCUAGAAGGAGGAUUUAGCAGUAAAGCGGGAGAAUAGAGCCCACUUUAAGCCGGCCCUAGGGCACGU
rnacentral:rRNA from 1 species